UGGUUUUUCUAAAAAAAGUCGUCUCCACAACCACUCAGUGUGAAUGAAAUAGAUUGUCAGAAGUUUUAUAUACAAAUCUUAAGAUGAAACGACACAGACAUUUUGCAGUAAUUGAUCUAUUCAUGCUGUUGUUUAAGAUUAAAAGACAUGGUCAUAUACCAGGACGUCGUCCCUUAAAAUUUUCUUGGAUAAAGGUCAGGAAGCAAAUGCAUCUUCAUGGAACACUAGGGCACAUCUAUGCUUUAGCAGAGUUUCAUGUUAAGUACGAAGGAGACAUAUUGUUCCAGAUCAGACCAAGUAAGAACAGAGCAGGUUUCCUACCUAUUUCAGCUCUAGGAGCAGCGUGAUCAGUCAGCCAGCCCACAGGUCUGCUCGAGUGGACAGUUCUGAUGCUGCUUCAACUCUGCUGUCCACCAUGGCCACCACAAAAUGCCAUCCACGAUUAUGUGCUGUGCCUUGGACCCUCCUCUUUGGA